UGAUCCUGGCUCAGAUUGAACGCUGGCGGCAGGCCUAACACAUGCAAGUCGAACGGUAACAGGAUAGCUUGCUAUCGCUGACGAGUGGCGGACGGGUGAGUAAUACUUAGGGAUCUGCCUCUGUGUGGGGGAUAACUAUUGGAAACGAUAGCUAAUACCGCAUAAUGUCUACGGACCAAAGCGGGCUUCGGCUCGUGCGCAGAGAGGAACCUAAGCGAGAUUAGCUAGUUGGUGAGGUAAAGGCUCACCAAGGCGACGAUCUCUAGCUGUUCUGAGAGGAAGAUCAGCCACACUGGAACUGAGACACGGUCCAGACUCCUACGGGAGGCAGCAGUGGGGAAUAUUGCACAAUGGGGGAAACCCCGAUGCAGCCAUGCCGCGUGUGUGAAGAAGGCCUUCGGGUUGUAAAGCACUUUCAGUUGUGAGGAAAGUUUAGUAGUUAAUACCUGCUAGAUGUGACGUUAGCAACAGAAGAAGCACCGGCUAACUCCGUGCCAGCAGCCGCGGUAAUACGGAGGGUGCGAGCGUUAAUCGGAAUUACUGGGCGUAAAGCGCACGCAGGCGGUCUGUUAAGCUAGAUGUGAAAGCCCCGCGCUCAACGUGGGAGGGUCAUUUAGAACUGGCAGACUAGAGUCUUGGAGAGGGGAGUGGAAUUCCAGGUGUAGCGGUGAAAUGCGUAGAGAUCUGGAGGAACAUCAAUGGCGAAGGCAACUCCCUGGCCAAAGACUGACGCUCAUGUGCGAAAGUGUGGGUAGCGAACAGGAUUAGAUACCCUGGUAGU
rnacentral:rRNA from 1 species